rnacentral:tRNA from 1 species
GAUUGUGGCUCAGUGGUAGAGUGCUCGCCUAGCAUGCAUGAGGCCCUGGAUUCAAACCUCAGCACUACA